UAAGUAGUGGCGGAAUUGGUUAGACGCACUAUCCGAGGACUUGUAGCGUAUUGUCGUGGUAUUCAGAAUACAAGUCGUGCAGGUUCGAGUCCUGCCUACUUAC
rnacentral:tRNA from 1 species